rnacentral:lncRNA from 1 species
AUGAGUCUGCUCUCUCUAAGCAACCUCAGGCCUUCUAGUGAUCUCAAAUUGCAAUUAGGACUCUUGUACUACACGUAAUAGGCUGGCUGUCUUCUAGAGCGUCCACAAUAAGUCUCGCAAGCUUGGAUGACAAUAAAUCUGUUGAACAAUAUCUUAUUUUAUUUUGAUCCGCCUGUGGAUCCUUUGCAUUCCGUGGGUAAUACUUGAUAUUACUAUAUAUCGGUCUGUAAUACAUUUAUCUCUUGCUUCCGCUGUGCAUUAUUAUAUUGUGUUGUUUGUCUAUGAUGAUGCCAACUACGUCACUAUACUCCCCACCGGGCCCACCGGUGACACGUGGAAAUUAGGGGUGUGACAGAAACCCUAACCUAGGGUCUGUUCGCUGGAAAUCGGGUGUUUUUCAAGGACCUGGCGUUAAGAUCUGAAGGUCGUUAUUUAUUCAAGAUCAGUUGUGGUCUGUUCCAAGCAGUUUAAUGUGUGGUCAAGAUCUAUGGCGUUAGUUUGAGAACUGUUACUCAAGAUUUACUGCUGACACUUAACAAGAUAGAGGUUGAAGAUGGAAAUCUCAAGUGUUAUUCUCAGAUGAGUCGCAAGGCUUGUUUUCAGAACUUCCUUUCCAUAUGGUCCUCAUAGUUGAAAUCCCAUGGUCAUAAUACUGGUUGAAGAUACUUUGGGGUGAUUCUGGUGAUCUCGAAACCUAGGGUUUCUGAAAGUUUUUGUUCAAGAUUGUUUGUGUUCUUCUGCUGGGUUUUCUCUUCAGAUUAGGGCUUUUCAUGACAAUCUGAACCCUAAGGUCUUGUUAUCUUUCUCAUCGCGUUAGUUUGAGGUUUUUGAAUAAAUUAGAACUUAGUGAAGGUACAACAGGAUGUCUUUGUGAAUAAAGACAUACAACAGUUCUUGCAUUUGUUCCGAAGGAUACGGUAUCUGCAUUUGCUUGAUCUGUUCAUAGUCUGUAUUCCACGAUUGCACUGUAAGUGUUUCUAAACCUAAUUGGCGGUUGGAAGACUCUUUAUUUGAUCAUCGAAGGCAAA